rnacentral:rRNA from 1 species
UACGUGAGGGUGCGAGCGUUAAUCGGAAUUACUGGGCGUAAAGCGUGCGUAGGCGGUUCGCUGUGUCCGAUGUGAAAGCCCCGGGCUUAACCUGGGAAUGGCAUUGGAAACUGGGCGGGCUUGAGUGUGGGCAGAGGGGGGUGGGAAUUCCGACGUGUAGCAGUGAAAUGCGUAGAGAUGCGGAGGAACACCGAUGGCGAAGGCAGCCCCCUGGGUUAACACUGACGCUCAGGCACGAAAGGCGUGGGGAGCAAAACAGG